rnacentral:rRNA from 1 species
GACGAACGCUGGCGGCGUGCUUAACACAUGCAAGUCGAACGGAAAGGCCCCAGCUUGCUGGCGCACUCGAGUAGCGAACGGGUGAGAAACACGUGGGCAAUCUGCCCUGCACUCUGGGAUAAGCCUGAGACACUGGGUUUACUACUGGAUCUGUCCCUUCUCCUUAUGGGGUUUGGUGGAAAGUUUUUCGGUGUAGGAUGAGCCCGCGGCCUAUCAGCUUGUUGGUGGGGUGAUGGCCUACCAAGGCGACGACGGGUAGCCGGCCUGAGAGGGUGAGCGGCCACAUUGGGACUGAGAUACGGCCCAGACACCUACGGGAGGCAGCAGUGGGGAAUAUUGCACAAUGGGCGGAAGCCUGAUGCAGCGACGCCGCGUGAGGGAUGACGGCCUUCGGGUUGUAAACCUCUUUCAGCAGGGACGAAGCGUAAGUGACGGUACCUGCAGAAGAAGCACCGGCUAACUAUGUG